UGCCUAAUGCAUGCAAGUCGCACGCUCGCACUUCGGUGCGGGAGUGGCGAACGGCUGAGGAACACGUGGGGACCUGUCCGUCAGUGGGGGACAACCCGGCGAAAGCCGGGCUAAUCCCGCAUACGCUCUGCGGAGGAAAGCAGCAAUGCGCUGACGGGUGGCCCUGCGGCCCAUCAGGUAGUUGGCGGGGUAACGGCCCACCAAGCCAAUGACGGGUCGCUGGUCUGUGAGGACGACCAGCCAGACUGGGACUGCGACACGGCCCAGACUCCUACGGGAGGCAGCAGCAAGGAAUUUUCGGCAAUGGGCGCAAGCCUGACCGAGCAACGCCGCGUGCAGGAUGACGGCCUUCGGGUUGUAAACUGCUUUUACCAGGGACGAUACAGACGGUACCUGGCGAACAAGCCCCGGCUAACUCUGUGCCAGCAGCCGCGGUAAUACAGAGGGGGCAAGCGUUGUCCGGACUUACUGGGCGUAAAGGGCACGUAGGUGGCGCGCCAAGACCUGUGUGAAAUCGGACGGCUUAACCGUGCGGCGCCACAGGUGACUGGUGGGCUCGAGGCAUGCAGAGGCUGGUGGAAUUGCCGGUGUAGUGGUGAAAUGCGUAGAGAUCGGCAGGAACACCAAGGGGGAACCCAGCCAGCUGGGCAUGACCUGACACUGAGGUGCGACAGCGUGGGGAGCGA
rnacentral:rRNA from 1 species